rnacentral:rRNA from 1 species
UCCAGACUCCUACGGGAGGCAGCAGUGGGGAAUAUUGCACAAUGGGGGAAACCCUGAUGCAGCGACGCCGCGUGGGUGAAGGAGCGUUUCGGCGCGUAAAGCCCUAUCGGCAGGGAAGAAGGGGGACGGUACCUGACUAAGAAGCCCCGGCUAACUACGUGCCAGCAGCCGCGGGAAUACGGAGGGGGCAAGCGUUAUCCGGAGUUACUGGGUGUAAAGGGGGGGCAGACGGCAGCGCAAGCCAGGAGUGAAAGCCCGGGGCCCAACCCCGGGACUGCUCUUGGAACUGCGCGGCUGGAGUGCAGGAGGGGCAGGCGGAAUUCCUGGUGUAGCGGUGAAAUGCGUAGAUAUCAGGAGGAACACCGGCGGCGAAGGCGGCCUGCUGGACCGUGACUGACGUUGAGGCUCGAGAGCGUGGGGAGCAAACAGGAUUAGAUACCCCAGUACC